CAGUCGCCACGGUAAUACGAAGGGGGCUAGCGUUGCUCGGAAUGACUGGGCGUAAAGGGCGCGUAGGCGGCUGUUACAGUCAGACGUGAAAUUCCUGGGCUCAACCUGGGGGCUGCGUUUGAUACGUGAUGGCUUGAGUUCGGAAGAGGGUCGUGGAAUUCCCAGUGUGGAGGUGAAAUUCGUAGAUAUUGGGAAGAACACCGGUGGCGAAGGCGGCGACCUGGUCCGAUACUGACGCUGAGGCGCGAAAGCGUGGGGAGCAAACAGGAUUAGAUACCCCAGUAGUCCCUGUCUCUUAUAC
rnacentral:rRNA from 1 species